AUUUUAAGAUGAGUUAAAAACCAGACAACAUACCAUGCACAAACAUUAAAAGAAAAGAUACAAACAAUAGAGGAAGUUGGGCUAAAGAAAUAGCAAUGAGAAUUCGCCAUUGGAGCUAGGAGAUGGGAAAAAAAUAUAAGAAAAAAGAAGAACAAUGAUAUUGUAGUAUUGAUUUAUUUAUUUAUUUAUUUAUUUAUUUAUUUAUUUUGUAGAAGUAGUAUUGAAAAGUUAGAAUAGUUUUCAGCCUUCCUCU
rnacentral:lncRNA from 1 species